rnacentral:rRNA from 1 species
AUUGAACGCUGGCGGCAGGCCUAACACAUGCAAGUCGAACGAGUGGCGGACGGGUGAGUAAUGUCUGGGAAACUGCCCGAUGGAUGGGGAUAACUACUGGAAACGGUAGCUAAUACCGCAUACCAUCGGAUGUGCCCAGAUGGGAUUAGCUAGUAGGUGGGGUAACGGCUCACCUAGGCGACGAUCCCUAGCUGGUCUGAGAGGAUGACCGGCCACACGGGAACGGAGAAACGGUCCAGACUCUUACGGGAGGCAGCAGUGGGAAAUAUUGCACAAGGGGGGCAAGCCGGAGGCAGCCAUGCGGCGUGUAUGUAGAGGGCUUGCGGGUUGUAAAGUACUUUCAGCGGGGAGGCGUUACUCGCAGAAGAAGCACCGGCUAACUACGUGCCAGCAGCCGCGGUAAUUC